AUUUCAUUCCCCCCCAAAUUUUUUCCCUCUCCCACGCUUCUCCAUCCUCCUCCCCCCUCACAUCCGGCCGAAAGCCACGCCGACCACGACCACGCCGCACGCCGACCGUUCCGACCACCGUCAAUCACUCUCUUUACGAUAUUCCACAUUCCCUUGCUUUUUGCUCAAAAUGCUGAUAUGGAUAUAUGUCAUGGAUUUGUUCAAGUCAAAAAUCUAUAAGGAAUAGACGAAGCUUCGCACAAAUGUGACGAGGAUGCUCCACCUUUUGCAAAUUGGGUGUCCGUGUGUUGCUGUGUAUUAUGCUGCUUUAGAGUAUAAGCAGUUCCUUGUGUCCUAAAGCAUGCAGAUGUGGGUUGGACUGAACCAGUGUUCAUCCAGCAGUGGUCAGAGAAGUACAAUCGUGUGUUGAAGGGCGUGACCCAGUAGGGUUAUCCUAUCUUUGGUCAUUUGCCUUUAGUUCCCAUUGAGGAGAUAUCUAAGUCAAUUAGGAAGGGAGAGCCUAGAAAGGAAGGAAAUGAAUAUAGGUUGCGAUUGUGGAAACCCUUUCGACACAUUUACUUCCUAGCGUGUGAUUACUGAAAUAUGUGAUAAACUUUGUAUGUAACAAUACUAUUAUGCAAAGGGCACAAAAACCAAAUAUUUCAUAA